rnacentral:tRNA from 1 species
UGCGGGGUGGAGCAGUCUGGUAGNNCGGGCUCAUAACCCGAAGGUCGUUGGUUCAAAUCCGACUCCCGCAUCCA